CCCCGAAACAAGUUUGAAAAGUCUACAACAAGUGCUAAGUAGACCAAUGUUGGUGGCGGGAAUGUGUGGAGCCGUGCGGCUACAGUGGAGACCCUUAGAUCGAGUCCUCUUUGUCCAUGUCAUUUUAAUGCCAUUUUGAUGUUUAUUUUGGGAAAACUUGUGCUAUUUUGUAACUGUUUUUCUUUUGUUGUGUUUCCGCGGAUCUCGUUAUGUUUUGGAACUAUUUGGAUUUUUAAUGCUUAUCAGAUAACAUUAAUUUUAUUGUGUCUCCCGUUUUAUCAAAUGAAAAUGUUGUAAGACUUUUUA